rnacentral:rRNA from 1 species
UAGGGAAUCUUGCGCAAUGGACGAAAGUCUGACGCAGCAACGCCGCGUGUAGGAUGAAGCCUCUAGGGGUGUAAACUACUGUCAGCAGGGAAGAAAUUGACUGUACCUGCAGAGGAAGCACCGGCUAACUCCGUGCCAGCAGCCGCGGUAAGACGGAGGGUGCAAGCGUUGUCCGGAAUUAUUGGGCGUAAAGAGUUCGUAGGCGGUUAUUUAAGUCUGAUGUGAAAUCCUAGAGCUCAACUCUAGAAGUGCAUCUGAUACUGUAUAGCUUGAGUCUCAGAGAGGAUGGAGGAAUUCCCAGUGUAGAGGUGAAAUUCGUAGAUAUUGGGAGGAACAUCGGUGGCGAAGGCGUCCAUCUGGAUGAAGACUGACACUGAGGCGCGAAAGCGUGGGGAGCAAACAGGAUUAGAUACCCCCGUAGUCCCUGAGCGGGCUGGCAAGGCGCAU